AAAGUACUCCCUCCGUCCCAAAAUUCUUGUCUUAGAUUUGUCUAGAUACGGAUGUAUCAAGUCACAUUUUAGUAUUAGUAACAUCCAUAUCUAGACAAAUCAAAGACAAGAAAUUUGGGACAGAGGGAGUAGUUG
rfam:Triticum aestivum genome assembly, contig: Triticum_aestivum_CS42_TGACv1_scaffold_062634_1DL